rnacentral:rRNA from 1 species
CCCGAGACUCAGUGAAAUUGAACUCGCUGUGAAGAUGCAGUGUACCCGCGGCAAGACGGAAAGACCCCGUGAACCUUUACUAUAGCUUGACACUGAACAUUGAGCCUUGAUGUGUAGGAUAGGUGGGAGGCUUUGAAGCGUGGACGCCAGUCUGCGUGGAGCCGACCUUGAAAUACCACCCUUUAAUGUUUGAUGUUCUAACGUGGACCCGUAAUCCGGGUUGCGGACAGUGUCUGGUGGGUAGUUUGACUGGGGCGGUCUCCUCCUAAAGAGUAACGGAGGAGCACGAAGGUUGGCUAAUCCUGGUCGGACAUCAGGAGGUUAGUGCAAUGGCAUAAGCCAGCUUGACUGCGAGCGUGACGGCGCGAGCAGGUGCGAAAGCAGGUCAUAGUGAUCCGGUGGUUCUGAAUGGAAGGGCCAUCGCUCAACGGAUAAAAGGUACUCCGGGGAUAACAGGCUGAUACCGCCCAAGAGUUCAUAUCGACGGCGGUGUUUGGCACCUCGAUGUCGGCUCAUCACAUCCUGGGGCUGAAGUAGGUCCCAAGGGUAUGGCUGUUCGCCAUUUAAAGUGGUACGCGAGCUGGGUUUAGAACGUCGUGAGACAGUUCGGUCCCUAUCUGCCGUGGGCGCUGGAGAACUGAGGGGGGCUGCUCCUAGUACGAGAGGACCGGAGUGGACGCAUCACUGGUGUUCGGGUUGUCAUGCCAAUGGCACUGCCCGGUAGCUAAAUGCGGAAGAGAUAAGUGCUGAAAGCAUCUAAGCACGAAACUUGCCCCGA